GACGAACGCUGGCGGCGUGCUUAACACAUGCAAGUCGAACGGAAAGGCCCUGCUUUUGUGGGGUGCUCUAGUGGCGAACGGGUGAGUAACACGUGAGUAACCUGCCCUUGACUUUGGUAUAACUUCAGGAAACUGGGGCUAAUACCGGAUAGGAGCUCCUGCUGCAUGGUGGGGGUUGGAAAGUUUCGGCGGUUGGGGAUGGACUCGCGGCUUAUCAGCUUGUUGGUGGGGUAGUGGCUUACCAAGGCUUUGACGGGUAGCCGGCCUGAGAGGGUGACCGGCGACAUUGGGACUGAGAUACGGACCAGAGUCCUACGGGAGGCAGAAGUGGGGAAUAGUGCACAAUGGGAGGAAGCCUGAUGCAGCAACGCCGCGUGCGGGAUGACGGCCUUCGGGUUGUAAACCGAUUUCGCCUGUGACGAAGCGUGAGUGACGGUAAUGGGUAAAGAAGCACCGGCUAACUACGUG
rnacentral:rRNA from 1 species